GUUCACCUCCCUCUUCUUGCCACACUGAACAGUUACAAACAAUGGAAGCGAUCAGCUGAAUUUAAAAGGGAGGGGACUUGUGGCAGAGAAACCUCAGAUGCAGCACAAGCUUGCACCCUGCUUUGAAAUAGCCCAUGUCUUGUUGAUGUAAAGGGCAUGCUACAAGGCACUUCUGUUUCCACUGGUUGCUGAAUUUAGAAAACCCAGGAGCUAGCUUCAUCACACAUCUCUGCCAAUAUACGUUAGUGCUGAGCUGGAAUGCCCCUUUUAUUCUGCUAAUGGGCCCCUCCUGAGCUGAGACCACACAUCACACUGAACCGAGUAAUUAUUCUUCUGAUGUACCCAAAUGUUCACUGAAAUGAGAUGGAGAUGGCUGAGCUCAUUUCACUUGUGAUCUAAACCAUGUUUGAACUCAGAUCUACGGCGGUGAAAAAAAGGAAUCCAGUCUUGACCUGAAGCUAUCAAGAGAUGGGGAAUGCAGCACUUCUCAUGGAAAUUGGAGUCAUGAGUUCUGUACACAGAGCAAGUCUACAGGAGUGAGCGUCAAGAGACUGCGGUAACAAGUCUAAGAUAUGGAGGGGAAAAAAAAUAGUGAAUGCAGUUCUGGCCUUUCUGUUACAAUGUGAAGAAAAGACAGAAUGUUGCAUGUAAGCCCGUGGUGAUGAUACUACAUUAUGUGGUGAGGCGAAUGUUGUCAAUGGAAGUCUAUAGAAAAUGACCCUGCAACAUAAAGUAAAAGGAAAUCACUGUCAGUGCAAGUCUAUAGAAAUGACUAUGAUCUGAGAAAAGGCAAAACAUUGUCAAUGCAGCUGUGAUUGGUUUUGCAAUGUAAGGAAAUGCAACAUGAUAUCAAUGCAAUGCAAAACAAGUUGUGAAGAUAGACAAACUGAAGAGUGAAUCUGUUAUGUGAAUAAUUAAAUUGAUUCCCAUACUAAACAUUAUUUUACUCAUACUUUGUCCUUCUAGUUUAUAGUAAUCAUUCAUGUUAAGUCUGUCUUUAUAUUACUACUUCAAUUGCUCCACUCAACAGCAAUGCCCAUAUAUUGAAGACUUAAGUUACCUCACAUUUAUC